CAGCAGCCACGGUAAUACGAAGGGUGCAAGCGUUAAUCGGAAUUACUGGGCGUAAAGCGUGCGUAGGCGGUUUGUUAAGUCUGUUGUGAAAUCCCCGGGCUCAACCUGGGAAUGGCAAUGGAUACUGGCAAGCUAGAGUGUGUCAGAGGAUGGUGGAAUUCCCGGUGUAGCGGUGAAAUGCGUAGAGAUCGGGAGGAACAUCAGUGGCGAAGGCGGCCAUCUGGGACAACACUGACGCUGAGGCACGAAAGCGUGGGGAGCAAACAGGAUUAGAUACCCGAGUAGUCCCUGUCUCUUAUAC
rnacentral:rRNA from 1 species